CUAAGUGCCUGCACCCUUAGCUUCCCUUUGCAGUCUGACCUCAGUGCAAGGCACCUGAUGGCAGGCAGCAGCCACACACUGCCGCCUCGCUGACAAAACUCCAAGAGCAGUAGAUUCACAGUCACAACAGUUGGUCAAUGCCCCUGCUGGUGUUUACCAACUCAGCCCCACCAGAGGCACGCCUUCAGGCUGCCAGCGGCCUGCCCACAUCAUCUUCACUGAUGACUUUGACAGUGGGAUGGAGUGCACCCUCACAGCAGUUGGUGGAUGACACCAAGCUGUGUGGUGAGGUUGACACAGCCAAGGGACGGGAUGCCACUCAGAGAGACCUGGCAGGCCGAGCAGUGAGCGAACAUGAACUUCAUGAGGUUCAACACAUCCAAAUGCAGUCUUGCAACCGGGUCGAGGCAACCCCCGCUAUCGGUGCAGGUUGGAGAACGUAGGGAUGGAGCACAGCCCUGCCUAAAAGGACUUGCAGGUACUGGUGGGUGGCAGCUGGACGUGAGCCAGCAGUGUGCCCUCACAGCCUGGAAAGCCAACUGAAAGCUGCAUCAAAAGGAGUGUGGCCAGCAUGGCAAGGGAGGUGAUCCUGACCCUCUGCUCUGCGCUGUGAGACCUCACCUGCAGUACUGUGUCCACGUGUGGAGUCCUCAGCAUGGGAAAGACAUGGGCCUGUUGGAGUGUGUCCACAGGAGGGCCACAGAAAUGAUCCAAAACAUGGGAUACCUCUCCUGCAAGGACAGGCUGAUAGGACUGGGGCUGUUCAGCACGGAGAAGGCUCUGAGGGCUGUAAGAAGGAAGGGGAUGGAUUCUACAGUAGGGCCUGUUGGGACAGGACAAGGGGAAACAGUUUCAAACUAAAAGAGGAGAGAUUUAGGUCGGAUAUAAGGAAAAAGUCUGUCACAGAACGGUGAGGCAGUGGCACAGGUUGCCCAGAGAGGCGGUGGAUGUCCCGUCACCGGAGACACCCAAGGCCUGGCAGACAGGCUACCCGGGCCCGCCUGGGCCGCCCUCCGUUCGGAGCGCCCCGGGGCUCUCAGUUCCACGCCGCGUCGCCGCUCAGCGCCGCGCUCUGCCUCUGCCCGCAGCCGUCCCG
ensembl:lncRNA